AUGCCCAUUGGUGUUCCAAAAGUACCUUACCGGAUUCCCGGAGAUGAAGAAGCGACUUGGGUUGACUUAUACAAUGUUAUGUAUCGAGAAAGGACACUUUUUUUUUAG
rnacentral:rRNA from 1 species